AGUGAACGCUGGCGGUAGGCCUAACACAUGCAAGUCGAACGGCAGCACAGUAAGAGCUUGCUCUUACGGGUGGCGAGUGGCGGACGGGUGAGGAAUACAUCGGAAUCUACUUUUUCGUGGGGGAUAACGAAGGGAAACUUACGCUAAUACCGCAUACGACCUACGGGUGAAAGCAGGGGAUCUUCGGACCUUGCGCGAUUGAAUGAGCCGAUGUCGGAUUAGCUAGUUGGCGGGGUAAAGGCCCACCAAGGCGACGAUCCGUAGCUGGUCUGAGAGGAGGAUCAGCCACACUGGAACUGAGACACGGUCCAGACUCCUGCGGGAGGCAGCAGUGGGGAAUAUUGGGCAGUGGGCGCAAGCCUGAUCCAGCCAUACCGCGUGUGUGAAGAAGGCCUUCGGGUUGUAAAGCCCUUUUGUUGGGAAAGAAAAGCAUCAGGUUAAUACCCCGCUGUUCUGACGGUACCUAAAGAAUAAGCACCGGCUAACUUCGUG
rnacentral:rRNA from 1 species